UGAGGAAUAUUGGGCAAUGCCCGCAAGGGUGACCCAGCAACGCCGCGUGGAGGAUGAAUGUCGUAAGAUUGUAAACUCCUGUUAGAGGGGAAGAAUAGUACCGGUUGGACCGGUAUAUGACUGUACCCUCAGAGAAAGCCCCGGCUAACUACGUGCCAGCAGCCGCGGUAAUACGUAGGGGGCAAGCGUUGUCCGGAUUUACUGGGUGUAAAGGGCGCGCAGGCGGGAUAAAAAGUCAGUGGUGAAAUCCUACAGCUUAACUGUAGAACUGCCUUUGAUACUUUUAUUCUUGAGUUCGGGAGAGAGACGGAAUUCCAGGUGUAGUGGUGAAAUACGUAGAUAUGUCAUAGAACACCGAUUGCGAAGGCAGCUAACGAAACUAUAACUGACGCUGAGGCACGAAAGUGCGGGGAUCAAACA
rnacentral:rRNA from 1 species